UAUUUAUAGAGCAGCGCCCGCGCGCGCCCGGCUCGGGCCCCGCCCCUCGGCGCCGCGCGCCAAUGCACCACUUGCGCGGGGGUCGGGGGAGGAAGGGCAGCUCGCCCCGCGGAGUCCGGGCUGAACCACACUGCGCGGCCGCGGGAGGUGCCGUGGCAAUCCGGCCCUCCAGAGACCGUUCAGCUAUCUUGAGCCGCUAGAGCUAGGAGAAAAAUGCAGACGCGAGGAGACGUGGGGGAUUGCUCUUCCUUGUUUGAUGUGGGAGAAAAAGCGACUGGGGCUUGCUGGACCCGCUCCCCUGUGCGGUGACAUGGCACCUCCCUUCCGACCGUUGGCCGGGAUAGCUUUCCCGGAGGUCGCGUCCCCCAGCGGAGGCGGCGGGAAUCGCGGAGGUUUUGUGCUGCGGCUGGGGUCUUUCUGGCCGUCCCGCCUCUAGAUGCCGGGUGGCAGGGAGCCGGUGGCGGUCGGCCAUGUGAAGGUGGCCAUCUUGGCCGGCCAGCGAGGGCUCCUCACGGCCUUCCUUCGGCGUCCCUGCCCGGCUCGUUGCCGGCCCCGGGAUAUCUGAGGGGCGCAGGCCCACCUUCUAGUCGUUUCCUGGUGAAUGGCUCUGCUGAAGAUGGCCGGAAAGCAGAUUAAUGAAGGUGCUGCCAUCGAUUUAAACAAUCGCCCUCCUGCCCGCUCCCCUGCGCUAAAGUUUCUGAGGGAUCCUCACCCUUCGUGGUUCGUGGACUUAAAAGUGGAGGCAGCGCUCCAGCCUUUCCCUCCAGAGAGAAAGGAGGCCGCUCCCAAGUCCGUCCUUGCCCCGUGGCCUUCCUGUUCCUUUGAAGGGGGGGGGAAUCGAUGUUUCAAUCCUCUGUUCAGGAGAAUAUGGAACGAACAUUUCUUUUUUGGUGGGUGGGGGCUAUUCGUUCCCUUGAAUGUGCUUAAGCAGAUCUCUUGACGGCGUGGAAUGGGCUGUUUCAUGAAGCUUUCACUUUAAAAUGUCCACCUGCGUUUGUCCCAGUUUUGCCCAAUAAAGGAAUUACAGGGAAAAAGAGCGAAACAAAACUUGAGCCAGCAAGGAGUAUGGAGUCCCGUUUGGAGGGAGCCCGCCUUGGGGGCGGGGGUCUCUGCAGCCUGUUCUGGGGCUGGGCCUCGGUGCAGGUCUGGUCGGGCUGGUGGCCUGGUGGCCCUGAGCGGAGCGCGUGACAAGAACGCCGGGUUUAAUGAGGUUCUCAGGGAACGGCCUGCUCCUAGCAUGGGAUGUACUUUACGCUGGGGAGGUGAAGGAGACCCCUAGUAACAGUCUCCAGCUGCCUACUGCUGGCGGCAGUAGAACAAGGUGCAUUCCCAAGAACAAUCCUCUCCGUCGGUGCAGGAGGAAAGGUGGGAUUUGCUAAAGGCUCAGUGGGAAACAAAGGAAGCACUUGGGCUGUGCUGGGGGCAUCCACAAAGAAGAUAAAGGGCUCCUCCCCAGACUCAGUGACCACAUCCACGGUCGCUCAAAGCAGGCAGCAAGAAAAGGUUCGACCACAAAAGAGACAAUAGGUGAUGAUAUUUUUAUUCGUUGCUUUUUACUUUUCAAGCUAACCCUUCAUGGGAAAGUAACUGUAUAAGACUAUUAAAUUUUUUUGUUAUUUUUUAAAGGAGAAUGCCAAUUUAUUAACUUACAAUGUGUAAUAAAAUUGUCAACUGGAACAAAAU
rnacentral:lncRNA from 1 species